UCCUCCAGGGAACAUCCAGGUUCCUGGAGUGCCUUUUAUUCCAGUUAUUAGUAUCUUUAUCAAUACCUACCUGAUGGUUCAACUUGGAGAAGAGACAUGGAUUAGCUAUUCCGUUUGGAUGGCAUUUGGCCUGGCUAUAUACUUUCUCUACGGGAUUCAUCACAGCAACCAAAGACAAAGAAUGCAAGAAAUGCACACAGUCCUCAAUACUGUUUAUGUAAAUAACAAUGUUGUUAGUGUUUCUGCUUGAUGGCUAUAAAAUCAUCUGU